rnacentral:rRNA from 1 species
UACGUAGGGGGCGAGCGUUGUCCGGAUUUAUUGGGCGUAAAGAGCGUGUAGGCGGCCAGGUAGGUCCGUUGUGAAAACUCGAGGCUCAACCUCGAGACGUCGAUGGAAACCAUCUGGCUAGAGUCCGGAAGAGGAGAGUGGAAUUCCUGGUGUAGCGGUGAAAUGCGCAGAUAUCAGGAGGAACACCGGUGGCGAAGGCGGGUCUCUGGGCCGAUACUGACGUGAGGAGCGAAAGCGUGGGGAGCGAACAGG